rnacentral:tRNA from 1 species
GGUGGCUCAGUGGUAGAGUGCUUGCCUUGCAUGCAUGAGGCCCUGGCUUCGAUUUCUCAGCACCA